GACGAACGCUGGCGGCGUGCCUAAUACAUGCAAGUAGAACGCUCAGUUUAUACCCUAGCUUGCUACACCAUAGUCUGUGAGUUGCGAAUGAGUGAGUAACGCGUAGGUAACCUGCGGGGGAUCGGUGGUGAACUAUUUAAAACGAUAGCUAUUACCGCAUAAUAUUGAUUAUUUCUUGUUAAUUAAUUGAAAUGUUCAAUUGCACCACGACCAUAUGGACUUUCGUUGUAUUAGCUAGUAGGUGAGGUAACGGCUCACCUAGGCGACGAUACAUAGCCGACCUGAGAGGGUGAUCGGCCACACUGGGACUGAGACACGGCCCAGACUCCUACGGGAGGCAGCAGUAGGGAAUCUUCGGCAAUGGACGAAAGUCUGACCGAGCAACGCCGCGUGAGUGAAGAAGGUUUUCGGAUCGUAAAGCUCUGUUGUAAGAGAAGAACGGGUGUGAGAGUGGAAAGUUCACACUGUGACGGUAUCUUACCAGAAAGAGACGGCUAACUACGUG
rnacentral:rRNA from 1 species